AGGUCUUAAUUGACCAAGCCGAAGACAGCAGGUACCGGUAGCCCGGUAUAAGGAACGAACGCCUGCCGAGGAAAAGAGUUAACGUUUUUAACGCAGAUUUACGUAACUUAUCCUCUCUGUGGCUUCACAGGGAGGUUUUUUAUAUCAGGCU
rfam:Lachnospiraceae bacterium 3_1_57FAA_CT1 genomic scaffold acsNT-supercont1.2, whole genome shotgun sequence.